GAUGAACGCUGGCGGCGUGCCUAAUACAUGCAAGUCGAGCGAACAGAUGAGGAGCUUGCUCCUCUGACGUUAGCGGCGGACGGGUGAGUAACACGUGGAUAACCUACCUAUAAGACUGGGAUAACUUCGGGAAACCGGAGCUAAUACCGGAUAAUAUAUUUAACCGCAUGGUUCAAUAGUGAAAGACGGGUUUGCUGUCACUUAUAGAUGGAUCCGCGCCGCAUUAGCUAGUUGGUAUGGUAACGGCUUACCAAGGCAACGAUGCGUAGCCGACCUGAGAGGGUGAUCGGCCACACUGGAACUGAGACACGGUCCAGACUCCUACGGGAGGCAGCAGUAGGGAAUCUUCCGCAAUGGGCGAAAGCUUGACGGAGCAACGCCGCGUGAGUGAUGAAGGUCUUCGGAUCGUAAAACUCUGUUAUUAGGGAAGAACAAAUGUGUAAGUAACUAUGCACGUCUUGACGGUACCUAAUCAGAAAGCCACGGCUAACUACGUG
rnacentral:rRNA from 1 species